CAAAUACAUAUUUAUCUCAGAUACGAGAAAUUUGUUCUCCAAAUUCGGAAAUUUUGCAGCUUAAAUAAUACUUUAUGUGUAUAUAUAUAUACGAAUUCAAGGUAUAUAAUUAUUCAACCAGUUCGACGAAUUUAAUUAUUAUUAUUAACGAAGAAAAGAAUGAUAGCUAGUUCGGUAUCGACGUAGCGCUCUCUUGCGAUACGUUCAGUAAUGUAACACGAACAUGUAUAUAAUCGAUAAAAAUGUUCUGUUACAUUAUCACAAGAUAUUUCAAACAUAUCUAUCAUGACUAUUCGCAUGGCUGUACUAUUCCUACCAUUGAUUAAGUGCCAUAACCUUAUUUAGAUCAUUAUUUGCAUUAUUUAAUAUAGACUAAAAAUG
rnacentral:misc_RNA from 1 species